UUCUCAUUCUCCUCUCAACGACAGACUGAAAAAGAGGCAGGGCGCAGCAAGCACUCCACUUGGCCGACACACAUAAAAUGAGAGACCUGUAAAAUGGGAGACCGUUAAAUACAAAAGCAAAAUGGCGGACCGGAAACAGCAUGCUGACGUGAUGUACAUUACAGUAGCCGAUAAGAGGAAAGACUGAAGAAGUAGGAGACAAGGCACAGCAAGUACUCCGCACAGUUGUCACAGAGAACAGACUGAAGAAGCAGACAACAACGAGCAGAAAUCACUCUGCUCUGCAGUCACAGGUUAAAUGAGAGACGUGUGAAAUGGAAGACCAUUAAACACAAAAGCAAGAUGGAGAACCUGAAACGAGAACAGACUGGAGAAGCAGGAGACAAGGAGCAGCAAACACUCUACACGGUUGUCAUAGGUAAAAUGAGAGACCUGUGAAAUGGGAGACUGUUAAAUACAAAAGCAAUAUGGGGAACCAGAAACGGUAUGCUGACACAAUGUACAUUUAUAGUAGCCAAUACGGUUCAGAACCUUGGUUUCUUAGCUCACUGUGUACCUCAGGGCAACUUAUUUUUAUUGUUUCUGUCUUUUCUUUUCUUUUCUUUUCUUUUCUUUUCUUUUCUUUUCUUGUCUUUUCUUUUCUCAUCUUUUCUUUUCUCUCUUUUCUCUUCUGAUCAUUUAUUUUCUUCUUUUAUUUUCCUUCUCCUUUCUUUCCUUCUCUUCUCCU